UAUGGCCAUAUCACAUUCAAACACCGGUUCCCAUACAAUCACCGAAGUUAAGCAACAUUAAGCCCGGUCAAUAACUAGAUGGGUGAAAACUUGGAAAUACCAGGUGCUAU